rnacentral:lncRNA from 1 species
UGGGACGCAUAAAUGCAUGAGUUAAAUCUCUUAAAUUAUGUUAAAGAUUUUGAUCAAAAUAAAGUUUAAGUCUAACAAUUAGGUUGAUUAGGUACCAACAACAACAACAACAGAAUGCCUUUUACCCGUUAAUCCACUAGUUGGGAAGAGGAUCCGGUACAGAUCUCUCACAUCAAAGGCCCAAGAUCAAGUGAUACAGGUCAUUGAAAUUUAAUCUAAUGGUUAUAAACAGGGGACCCCUCUAAAAGUUAUAAUAAUUGUAGUCGUUUGAUCAAAUUUCAAAGACUUGGAUCACUUGAUCCUGGACCUUUGAUAGGAGAGAUCCGGACCGGAUCCUCUUCUCACUAGUUGAGCAAUUUUGGCUUUUGGUUGGAAUUAUUGAGGCCCCGUUUGGGAUUGAGGUGAUUUUAAAAAAAGCCACUGUGAAAAAAAGCUGAGGGUCAUUUUUGUGUUUGGUACAACAACAACAACAACAAAGCCUUUUCCCACUAAGUGGGGUCGGCUAUAUGAAUCCUAGAACGCCAUUGCGCUCGGUUUUGUGUCAUGUCCUCCGUUAGAUCCAAGUACUCUAAGUCUUUUCUUAGAGUCUCUUCCAAAGUUGUCCUAGGUCUUCCUCUACCCCUUCGGCCCUGAACCUCUGUCCCGUAGUCACAUCUUCGAACCGG